GGUUCCAUAGUGUAGCGGUUAGCACAUCUGCUUUACACGCAGAAGGUCCUGGGUUCGAGCCCCAGUGGAACCA
rnacentral:tRNA from 2 species